rnacentral:rRNA from 1 species
UACGUAGGGACCGAGCGUUGUCCGGAAUCAUUGGGCGUAAAGAGCGUGUAGGCGGCUUGCUAAGUCUUGCGUGAAAUCUCGGGGCUCAACCCCGAGCGGUCGUGGGAAACUGGCAGGCUAGAGUGCGGGAGAGGAGAAUGGAAUUCCUGGUGUAGCGGUGAAAUGCGCAGAUAUCAGGAGGAACACCGGUGGUGUAGACGGCUUUCUGGACCGUAACUGACGCUGAGACACGAAAGCGUGGGUAGCAAACAGG